UACAUGUGGGGCAAGCGUUGUUCGGAAUUACUGGGCGUAAAGCGUGCGCAGGCGGCUUCUCAAGUCAGGGGUGAAAGCCCGGAGCUCAACUCUGGAAUUGCCUUUGAGACUGAGUGGCUUGAGUACGAGAGAGGUGAGUGGAAUUCCCAGUGUAGAGGUGAAAUUCGUAGAUAUUGGGAAGAACACCGGUGGCGAAGGCGGCUCACUGGCUCGUAACUGACGCUCAUGCACGACAGCGUGGGGAUCAAACAGG
rnacentral:rRNA from 1 species